rnacentral:misc_RNA from 1 species
GUGAGACACCAUCAACAAGCAAUUCAAUUGGCUAACCUGACUAGCAAAUAGCAAUUACGCAUUGGCAAUGAAGUUAUCAAGGUGUUCCUGUAUCCACGAAAAGUUACACGUCUACAGUACUACACAACUGACAGACACUAGCUGCACAACAGUGCUGAUCUAAAUCCAUAGCCUAUUAGGUACAAGCACAUAAUUUAACAUGAACUUUGAAGAAUCCCUCAAAUUUACACUCCCUAUUCACAAUUACACCAGAUUUUAUGAAAAUUAUUUCCACUUUUAGCAUGCCAAAAUAACCCAUGGCAUUUGGCAAGGAAAUCCAUUAGUACUCCGAUCACUAGCGAUACUAUGCCACUGGCUGUGUGCUUCCAAAUGAACUUCCACCCUGAUUAAAAUUGGUCUCAUUUGAUUGGAAGUACGAAAUGGCUGCCCAUAUUACACGUAGAAGCAGGAUCACUGAAAAGACGGUGCUUCCAAGAGUGCAAACCACCUCCAGAAAUGCUUUGACAAUAGAAAGUGCAGCCAAAAGCAGAAUCCCAUCAACAGCAAAUGACACCUGAAUCCAUAAAACAUAAGAAACAAAAGAAAAAGUGGAGAAUAAGAGUAAGAAAAUGGAAAUAGUUUUGAGCGAAAAGCCAGAUUAUAAUGAUUGCUCUAAAAGCUGAUUAAAAACAGACUUGCAAUGAUUUAUUUAGCAAGCACAAUGGCUGCAAAUUAUUGUAAUCUGCUGGUUCUUGUCCCUUUUCUGCUAGCAAAAGAAUUUGGCACCUUAAUACAUAGAGCAAACCAUAUUCAACAGUAAAAGCAUCAGAUUCUUCAGCAGGAAUGCGAGACAACAAUGGGCCCAAUUUUUAUAUCCUAAGCAGUAUUUUCCUUAUAAGUUCAAAUUGUUUCAACAAAUCACAUAAUAACUACAUCAUCGGCUCUGGAGCUCUUAAUCAGACAGAAAUUAUCACUAACACCACCAAUUUAUACAGUUAAGGUCAAGCCUUUUGUGUCAGCAUUUCAGUCCAUGAAUAUUCAUAAAAUGUUGUCAUAAGCUAUCCGUGACAAAUAAUUCCCUGUCAACUGAAACUUAAAAUAGAGGUGUUAGUACAUUUGGAUCACACAUAUAAUGGGACAUGCUGUACCAAGAAUUCCCUUCACAUAUGACCCUCACUCCUCAGCCUACUCCUGUUUCAUCAUUGAAAAGAUUAGGAAUUUUUCUUUUCUUAUCUUAAAUUCGAAACUGUUCUUGUGAGAUCCUUUGAGAUGAACCUGAUAUAUCCAAGUUACAAAGGGUGUUUGGUAUAUUGGAAAUUUCCAUAAUGGCAAAAGAAGGGAAGACAUAGACCAUGUGAACACACAUUUCAACUAAUUGAGAAUAUGCAUUUUUCCAGGUGUAUGCACAAAGAACAUAGCAUGAUCAGAUAGAACGAAAGAAAUGUGUUUACUUGAUCACUAAAUUACCAAAUUAUUCCUUGCAUUACACUGAUUUUAGAAGCAGUGGCAACAUGAUUUAAGCAUAAAUUUAUAAAUAUGGACAUUGAUAAUUUAAAGGAAAUCAUAAUGGGGAUUUCCGGCAAUCGCAAUUCCAAGCUACAAGCAAGCGGACAGAACAAAAUUGAGCAGCAAAGAAUGACCAACGUGCAUCGCUGGAUAAGAAAAGUUAAAGGGCAAGUAAAUCUACCAAUUGAGGUGAUAUUACGGAGGGCAAAAUCGAGCGAGAAGCCUUCUUGGCGCGCUUCGAGACCUUCUUGAACAUGCUUUGAAAGAAUCUGAUAAGCAAAUCAAUACUGCUCUCUGUCUCAUCAUCAUCGCUCUCGUCCUCAAUCAAGUCAUUAUCAUCAAAGAAUACUUCACCACCAAUCUCGUCGGCCUCUUCACCAGCCGAGCCAUCCAACUGAGAACAAAAAUCUUAAUGGUGACAAUCAAGAGUUCAAUACAAAAGAGAGAGGUGAGAGGGGGAGAGGAGACCUUGCCAUGGCAAACGGUGAUCGUGGGAGUCUUGUAAGGAGUAGUAAGGUGAAGAAAGCGAAAGCAUUGGUGAGGAUAUGGGCGCUUUGGAGCUUGCGAGACUGAUGGGUGGAGGAGCUUGGUGGGUAAAGUGAAAGAGGAGCAUGGUAAUGAGGUUAUGCCUGCUGCCAUUUUUUUUU